rnacentral:lncRNA from 1 species
UUUGGAUACUGCACGGCAGUCGUUUGAAGAAAAAACUGGAGAGAUGGGGGAUGGAAGCCUGGGAGUCACAUUUUUUCAAGCAAGACAUCACAGAGGGUGAGGCCCAGUGACAGAGAUGACAGAUAUUCAAAGAUGGAAUGAAAGAGGUUUGGUGACUGGAUAUAAGCAACGAAACAGGAAGAAUUGAAUUUGGGUCUGAUAUUUCCUGGAUGCAAGAUCAGGAGGAUGUUGGCACCAUGGCUUAGUGGGGAAACUGGGGACCGAUUCUGGAGGUAUACCAGCAUGGUGAGUUUGGUUUUAGAUGGGUUGUGUUUGACAUAGGGCUAGCAAUUCUAAGUGAAGAUGUCUAAAGAAAGAUAGAAGUGACUCAGCUCUGAAGUUCUGAAAUGAUCAGCCAUCAGCGUGGCAUGAGGAAGACCUAGGAACAGACAGACUGGGGAGAAGACACAGAGCCAAGCAGGACCUGGCCUGCAGCCCAAACCCUGUGGAAUCCCUACAUUCAAGGACCAGGUUGAAGUGAAGCCAUUGACAGGAACUGAGAUGCAGUAGUGUUCUGGAAGUCAAGUGAGGAGGAGGAUUGAAGAAGAGGGGGGUUGCCCAGUGGAAACACCAGACUGCAAAGCUUUGAGAAGUCUGUAUGAGAUGAACAACUGGAAAAGGUUCUUCGUGAAGAAUUUGUGUGGUGAAGAGCUGGAAUAGCGGCUUGAGGGAGAGAAGCCAGG